UGGAUAUUGAUGGUGGUCAGAGAUAUACAGAAUGUGAAGAUAUGUGGGAUAAAAUGAAGGACAGCAGGAUUUGACCCACACUGCAUGUGACAUUACAGGAGCCAGUUUAUGGCAGAGCCCCUUCCUAACUUUCAAGGCAAAGAAGAGUGGCUUCAUUUUGAUUGGAUCAUGGCAGGACCAACACAAAUAAAUGUCAAGAACAGCCAUCAGAUAAGCUGCUCGGACAACUGACAGACACCCCUCACAAGGAAGGGAGAGAGAGGAGAACAGAUCAUCCAAUGUUCUUAGUGUCCAUCCGAAACAGAAGAAGACUGACCAAGUACCAAGUCUCACUACAAGAAACUAUUGCAACGGCAAGUUUGGAAUCCCUAUACCAGGGAGAUAACUACAGCAACAUGGUUUAGUUAUGGUGAGCAAACCCUCUCUUCAAGUUUGUGCAUCUGCAUGUUCCAGGUGAUGAAUCUUGCACCGACAUAAGGGCUGUAUAUCUGCAUGCUCCAGAUUGUAAGAACCCCAUCGGUGCUUCCAGGAGAUCAGCAUUCCUCAGCUCAUUCGUAUCCAAAGCUGUUGAAAUGGAAUCCAGCUCCUUCUCCACUGUAACGUGGCCUGAGCCCCAGUGGAAGACAUCGCUAUCACCGAACUCAUCAAUCGAACAAGGAGAACAUAAAUAUCACUAAUAAACCUCUUUCCAGAGACCUUGGCAUUAGUGUAUACUAUCGGUUUAUGAUUUUCUAAUGUUCUUUAGAUUACAUAUCCUGUGUAUCAAAGGUCUUGCAAAUAAUCUUUGAGUUAUUUGUUGAAAUAGAAAUAUGGUUUUCACCUUAAUAAUUAACAGAGAAACAGCAACAUAUCUUGCAUAAAAUAAUAGUCAUACUUUGCCAUUGCUACAUCCAAUUCAACCACUUGCAACUUUCCAUCCUAUGCACUUUAUUUACCUAUUAAUUUAUUUGAUUAUGAAUUAUUAUGAUCAUAUUUGAUCA